CUGUGAGCUGCCUUCUGUAAUUGUGUAUUUGUAUAUUUGCUAUCCAAUGCUUGGAUCUGGUAUUAUAUGGUACAUUAUUCAUUCAUUCAUAACACAAGGGUUAAUACCUUUCUGCUUUUGUUGUCAGGGGGAAAGGGGAAAGCUACGUGCUUUAGGCAAGAGGCCCCGGGGCUUACACCACCCGCAGGAUAAUCUUUUUGUAUAUAAACAUUAGUUGCAACCCUGGCAGUGGCAAACGAUCAUGGGAGCAAAUAAUAAUAAUAAAAAAAAAACA